rnacentral:rRNA from 1 species
UUGAAAGGGAAACGAUUGAAGUCAGUCGUACCGACGAAGGAUCAACUUUUGGAAUGCGAAUUGGGGUAUUCGAGGAGUUUAAAAGCCUUCGUGUGCUCAUGUAUUCGUGCUUCUUGGGUGCACUUCUUCGUAUUGGUAGGUUAACAUCAAUUUUGGACGUUACAAAAUGACUGGGGGAAUGUAGCUUCGAUUUUUCGAAGUGUUAUAGCCCUUGGUAGAUGUGACGACCGGGAUUGAGGAUUGCAACGAAUGCUUUCGGGCUAUCCGUCUGACCUCUGAUACGUGGCCUUGGUAUCGAAAGCUUGCUUAUGGUAUUAAGGUAUUACGGUCAAAAGGUUAGAACGGAUUACAUUCGUUAAGGAUGUUGACGUA